GUGCCCUCAUUGGGGUCACCACUUUGCACGCUUAUGGUGAAGGACUCACGCAUUGCACGGCACACGUGUGCAACGCGGGUGUGAAAUGAAGGUCUUGUGCAGGGCACUUGUGCAACGAGGCACUUGUGCAACGCACGGGGCCGUGCAAGGAAGCACUUGUGCAAUGCACGAUGCUGCUUUGCACGGAGGCUCUUGUGCAUUGCACGGCGCUGCAUGCUGCAUACGGACGUGCAACAACACGCUUGUGCAACACGUAGCGCCGUGCAACGCACACUCAUUUGCACUGCGUGCUUUGCACGGCGGCCCUCUUUGCACGGCAGCCCCCGUGCAAUGCACGCUGGAGGACUUUUGCAGCGUGCAAUGGUGUGCAAUGCAGCAGCUGUUGCACGGCAGCCCUCGUGCAAGGCAUGGGGUGGGGGUGUGCAACGCCCCUCCGUGUGCAACAUCCCCUCGUGCAACGCCGUGUGGCCAUCGUGAGCUCCGGGUGGGCGUGCAAGAGGUGGACGUGGAAGGAAGCCCGGAUCCUCGUGCGACGGCGUCCCCUUGUGCAACGAACGGUGGCUCCAGUGCAAUGGUGGCCUCGUGCAACGAUGGUCCUUGUGCAACACCAGAUCUUGUGCGACGUGGGAGCUCGUGCAACACCUGACCUCGUGCACAUGGGGCCUCGUGCAACAUGGAGCCUUGUGCAACGCCAGAUCUUGUGCAACAUGGGGCCUCAUGCAUCAGUGGUCCUUGUGCAACACGGGGCCUCGUGCAACAUGGGGCCUCGUGCAACGCCAGUACUUGUGCAACAUGGGGCCUUGUGCCACAUGGAGCCUCGUGCAACGACAGAUCUUGAGCGACGUGGGGCCUCGUGCAACAGCAGAUCACAUGCAACGCAGGGCCUCGUGCAGCACCGGUCCUUGUGCAACGCAGAGUCACGUGCAACGCCAGAUCUCGUGCAACAGGGAGCCUCAUGCAUCAGUGGUCCUUGUGCAACACGGGGCCUUGUGCAACGUGGAGCCUCGUGCAACAACAGAUCUUGAGCGACGUGGGGCCUCGUGCAACGCCAGAUCUCGUGCAACACGGGGCCUCGUGCAGCGCUGGUCCUUGUGCAAUGCGGGGCCUCGUGCAACGCCAGAUCUCGUGCAACAGGGAGCCUCAUGCAUCAGUGGUCCUUGUGCUACACGGGGCCUCGUGCAACAUGGGGCCUCGUGCAACAACAGAUCUCGUGCAAUGCUGGUCUUUGUGCAACGCGGGGCCUCGUGCAACAUAGGGCCUCGUGCAACACCAGAUCUUGUGCAACAUGGGGCCUCAUGCAUCAGUGGUCCUUGUGCAACACGGGGCCUCGUGCAACACCAAAUCUUGAGCGACGUGGGACCUCGUGCAACACCAGAUCUUGUGCAACGCGGGGCCUUGUGCAACAUGGAGCCUCGUGCAACACCGGUCCUUGUGCAACACGUGCGGGGCCUCGUGCAACAGCAGAUCUCGUGCAACACGCGGCCUCAUGCAGCGCUGGUCCCUGUGCAACACGGGGCUUCGUGCAACAUGGAGCCUCGUGCAGCAUGGGGCCUCCUGCAACGCUGGUCCUUGUGCAACAUGGGGCCUCGUGCAACACCAGAUCUCGUGCAACGCUGGUCCUUGUGCAACACCAGAUCUUGAGCGACGUGGGACCUCGUGCAACACCAGAUCUCGUGCAACGGGGAGCCUCAUGCAUCACCGUUCCUAGUGCAACACGGGGCCUCGUGCAACAACAGAUCUUGAGCGACAUGGGGCCUCGUGCAACACCAGAUCUCGUGCAACAGGGAGCCUCCUGCAUCACCAUUCCUAGUGCAACACGGGGCUUCGUGCAACAUGGAGCCUCGUGCAAUGCUGGUCUUUGUGCAACGCGCGGCCUCGUGCAACAUAGGGCCUCGUGCAACAACAGAUCUUGAGCGACAUGGGGCCUCAUGCAACACCAGAUCUCGUGCAACGUGGGCCUUGUGCAACACCGGUCCUUGUGCAAGGCACGACCUUGUGCAGCACCAAACCUCGUGCAACAUGGAGCCUCGUGCAACACCAGACGUUGUGCAUCGCUGGGCCUCGUGCAACACCAGACCUUGUGCAAGGCAGGACCUCGUGCAGCACCAAACCUUGUGCAAUGGGGGGCCUUGUGCAACACCAGUGCUCGUGCAACGUGGGCCUUGUGCAACACCGGUCCUUGUGCAAGGCAGGACCUCCUGCAGCACCAAACCUCGUGCAACGGGGGGCCUUGUGCAACACCAGACCUUGUGCAACGCGGGGCCUCGUGCAACACACCCUCGUGCAGCUGCAAAACGUGUGAGAGGCACAAACACUCCGCGGCUCCGUGCAACACGGGGCCUUGUGCAACGGACACGUGCAACGUGCAGCUGCCCUCACACUCGGACUCGUGCUCGGGCCUCGUGCGCCUCGGACUUGUGCACGCCGUGCAACGGACUUGUGAGGUGCGGGGCCUCGUGCAAGAACUUCGUGUGAUGCAGGGCCUUUUGCAACUGUAUUGUGCAACACAGGGACUUGUGCAACGCUAUGGUGCACGCGGGGUCUUGUGCAACGCUAUGGUGCAACAGGGGGUCUUGUGCAAGGCAAUGGUGCAACAACACUGGGCCUUGUGCAGCUGUAUUGUGCAACACAGGGUCUUGUGCAAGACAAUGGUGCAAUGCUGGGCCUUGUGCAACUGUAUCAUGCAACGCGGGGUCUUGUGCAAGGCAAUGGUGCAACAUGAGGUCCUGUGCAAGGCAAUGGUGCAACGCUGGACCUUGUGCAACACUAAGGUGCAACAUGGGGUCUUGUGCAACUGUAUUGUGCAACACAGGGUCUUGUGCAAGGCAGUGGUGCAACAGGGGGUCUUGUGCACGGCAAUGGUGCAGCAGUGGGCCUUGUGCACCUGGAUUGUGCAACACAGGGCCUUGUGCAACACUGGAGUGCCACAUGGGAUCGUGUGCAACGCAGUGGUGCACCCUCAUAGUGCAAAGCAGAUCCUUGUGCAACACCCCCAUGAAAGACCAGGCCUUGCACGGUGUCCUCGUGCAACAGCAGGUGGAUACACGGGGCCUCGUGCAAAGGCCUCGUGCAGCGACGUGCGGUGAAAGGCGCCCUCGUGCAAUGCCCUCGUGCAACACGGGGGCUCUUGUGCAAAGGCAUUGUGCAAAGGUGGGUCUUGUGCGACGCCAUCGUGCAAUGGUGCGGUUACAGAGUGCCUCGUGCAACCCUGCGGUGCAAAAUGCACGCUUGUGCAAAGGCCUCGUGCAACGGGCUGGCCUCUUGGAGAGGCUUCGUGCAACACCGGGCCUUGUGCAAUGCUCCUUGUGCAAUGGUGCGGUGGUGCAGGAGGCCUCGUGCAACACUACAGGGUAUUCGUGCAAAGGCCUCGUGCAGCAGCCGACUGUGGGAUCUGCCUCGUGCAAAGGCCUUGUGCAACGGCUUGUGCAACACUACAGAGGAAGCGGAGCUCUUGUGCAAGGCUCUCGUGCAACAGCGUGAAGCACACGUGAUGCAGCUGCAAGGAGUGGAUCCUUGUGCAACAGGAUGUGCUAGUGCAAGGGCUGGGUCAUCGUGCAACGGCCUGCUGCACCAGCCCUUGUGCAAGAGAUGGGCCCUUGUGCAACAGACCCGUGCAACAUCCCUGUGCAAGAGGUGACCCCUUGUGCAACACACUUGUGCACCACACCAUACCUGUGCAAGAGGCGGCCCUUUGUGCAAUGGACUUGUGCACCACUGCUUGUGCAAGAGGGCACGCUUGUGCACAGCUGCUUGUGCAAGAGGACUCCCAAUGUGCAACAGCCUUGCACUACACUCGUGCACCACCCCUCGUGCAACACUCUUACACACCACCCCUUGCACAACACCCCGUGUGCACCACCCCUCGUGCAAGAGGAGCCCCCUCGUGCAAAUGCCUUGCACACCACCCCUUGUGCAACGCCCUUGCACACCACCCCU
rnacentral:lncRNA from 1 species